rnacentral:rRNA from 1 species
UGGGAAAGCUUAUACUGCAGUCGAGCGAGCUUGCCUAGAUGAUUUUAGUGCUUGCACUAAAUGAAACUAGAUACAAGCGAGCGGCGGACGGGUGAGUAACACGUGGGUAACCUGCCCAAGAGACUGGGAUAACACCUGGAAACAGAUGCUAAUACCGGAUAACAACACUAGACGCAUGUCUAGAGUUUGAAAGAUGGUUCUGCUAUCACUCUUGGAUGGACCUGCGGUGCAUUAGCUAGUUGGUAAGGUAACGGCUUACCAAGGCAAUGAUGCAUAGCCGAGUUGAGAGACUGAUCGGCCACAUUGGGACUGAGACACGGCCCAAACUCCUACGGGAGGCAGCAGUAGGGAAUCUUCCACAAUGGACGAAAGUCUGAUGGAGCAACGCCGCGUGAGUGAAGAAGGGUUUCGGCUCGUAAAGCUCUGUUGGUAGUGAAGAAAGAUAGAGGUAGUAACUGGCCUUUAUUUGACGGUAAUUACUUAGAAAGUCACGGCUAACUACGUGCCAGCAGCCGCGGUAAUACGUAGGUGGCAAGCGUUGUCCGGAUUUAUUGGGCGUAAAGCGAGUGCAGGCGGUUCAAUAAGUCUGAUGUGAAAGCCUUCGGCUCAACCGGAGAAUUGCAUCAGAAACUGUUGAACUUGAGUGCAGAAGAGGAGAGUGGAACUCCAUGUGUAGCGGUGGAAUGCGUAGAUAUAUGGAAGAACACCAGUGGCGAAGGCGGCUCUCUGGUCUGCAACUGACGCUGAGGCUCGAAAGCAUGGGUAGCGAACAGGAUUAGAUACCCUGGUAGUCCAUGCCG